rnacentral:rRNA from 1 species
GACGAACGCUGGCGGCGUGCUUAACACAUGCAAGUCGAACGGAAAGGCCCUGCUUUUGUGGGGUGCUCGAGUGGCGAACGGGUGAGUAACACGUGAGUAACCUGCCCUUGACUUUGGGAUAACUUCAGGAAACUGGGGCUAAUACCGGAUAGGAGCUCCUGCUGCAUGGUGGGGGUUGGAAAGUUUCGGCGGUUGGGGAUGGACUCGCGGCUUAUCAGCUUGUUGGUGGGGUAGUGGCUUACCAAGGCUUUGACGGGUAGCCGGCCUGAGAGGGUGACCGGCCACAUUGGGAAUGGGAUACGGCCCAGACCCCUACGGGGGGCAGCGGGGGGGAAUAUUGCACAAUGGGCGGAAGCCUGAUGCAGCAACGCCGGGUGCGGGAUGACGGCCUUGGGGUUGUAAACCGCUUUCCCCUGUGACGAAGCGGGGGUGGCGGUAAUGGGUAAAGAAGCACCGGCUAACUACGU